rnacentral:rRNA from 1 species
CCUACGGGAGGCAGCAGUGGGGAAUCUUCCGCAAUGGACGAAAGUCUGACGGAGCAACGCCGCGUGAGUGAUGACGGCCUUCGGGUUGUAAAGCUCUGUUAAUCGGGACGAAAGGUCCUCUUGCGAAUAGUUAGAGGAAUUGACGGUACCGGAAUAGAAAGCCACGGCUAACUACGUGCCAGCAGCCGCGGUAAUACGUAGGUGGCAAGCGUUGUCCGGAAUUAUUGGGCGUAAAGCGCGCGCAGGCGGAUCAGUUAGUCUGUCUUAAAAGUUCGGGGCUUAACCCCGUGAUGGGAUGGAAACUGCUGAUCUAGAGUAUCGGAGAGGAAAGUGGAAUUCCUAGUGUAGCGGUGAAAUGCGUAGAUAUUAGGAAGAACACCAGUGGCGAAGGCGACUUUCUGGACGAAAACUGACGCUGAGGCGCGAAAGCCAGGGGGANCGAACGGGGAUUAGAUACCCCCGGUAGUCCUGGCCGUAAACGAUGGGUACUAGGUGUAGGAGUAUCCGACCCCUUNUGUGCCGGACGUACGUACAUAAGUACCGCCGUCGGAGGUACGACCGACGAGUAGAACGUACAAGAAGUAGUAGACGCGAGAGAGCGACGACGACGACGACGGAGGAGAG